GGGGGCUAUACACAUUGGACGAAGUCUGACGGAGCAACGCCGCGNUGAGUGAUGAAGGUUUUCGGGAUCGUAAAACUCUGGUUGUUAGGGAAGAACAAGUACCGGUUCGAAUAGGGCGGUACCUUGACGGUACCUAACCAGAAAGCCACGGCUAACUACGUGCCAGCAGCCG
rnacentral:rRNA from 1 species